UGUUUGAGCCGUGAGGAGGAUUCUCUUCACGAUGACCUUUGACCCUGUGAACACUGUAAACAUCUCAGACCGAAAGUCGACCAGUCAGACUUUGAACUUUGAUGGUGGCGUGAGGACGCACCCUCUCUGAUGAAGAAUAAAAAGCGCCAACAAGCUGCUUCACUUCACUCCGUCUGACGGAAGCUGAAGUGAAGCGCGGAGCUCCUUUUCUACACGGACCUGCUGAGGAUCAGUGAAGCUGUGAACCACUUCAAACUUCCCCAAUAUUCACAGAUUCAUUCCACUUGUUUCCACAAAGAGGACGCUGACUUCAUCAGAGGACAGAUGGAGAAAGCCAAGAAGGAGAUGUUGAAACUUUUAGACCAGCUCAAGGAGGAAGAGUUCACACGAUUCAAGUGGCACCUGCAGAACCCUCCGGGCCAGGAAGAGUUCCGACCAAUCGUAGCCUGUUUCCUAGAGAACGCAGACAGGCCGGAAACAGUGAACCAGAUGGCGCGGCACAACGGCACAGACUCCGUUGACUUGACCCUAUGUAUUUUGAAAAAGAUUCCAAGGAUGGAUCUGCUCGAAGAAUUCAUGGAAAAACAUUCCGACUGGGAGUGAUAAGGAAGCUGAAGGAGAACCAUGUGUGUGAUGACAUUGAGCUA